GUGGGUGUAGCUCAGUUGGUUAGAGUACCAGAUUGUGAUUCUGGGUGUCGUGGGUUCAAGUCCCAUCAUCCACC
rnacentral:tRNA from 1 species